rfam:Camelus ferus unplaced genomic scaffold scaffold2190, whole genome shotgun sequence.
GAGGGUAUAGCUCAAAUGGUAGAGCACAUGCUUAGCAUGCAUGAGGUCCUGGGUUCAAUCCCCUGUACCUUCU